AUUGAACGCUGGCGGAAUGCUUUACACAUGCAAGUCGAACGGCAGCACGGGGGCAACCCUGGUGGCGAGUGGCGAACGGGUGAGUAAUACAUCGGAACGUGCCCAGUCGUGGGGGAUAACGUAGCGAAAGCUACGCUAAUACCGCAUACGAUCUACGGAUGAAAGCGGGGGAUCGCAAGACCUCGCGCGAUUGGAGCGGCCGAUGGCAGAUUAGGUAGUUGGUGGGGUAAAGGCUCACCAAGCCGACGAUCUGUAGCUGGUCUGAGAGGACGACCAGCCACACUGGGACUGAGACACGGCCCAGACUCCUACGGGAGGCAGCAGUGGGGAAUUUUGGACAAUGGGCGCAAGCCUGAUCCAGCCAUUCCGCGUGCAGGAUGAAGGCCU
rnacentral:rRNA from 1 species